rnacentral:rRNA from 1 species
GAGUUUGAUCCUGGCUCAGAGCGAACGCUGGCGGCAGGCCUAACACAUGCAAGUCGAGCGCCCCGCAAGGGGAGCGGCAGACGGGAGAGUAACACGUGGGAACGUGCCCUUCAGUUCGGAACAACCCAGGGAAACUUGGGCUAAUACCGGAUACAUCCGUAAGGAGAAAGAUUUAUCGCCAAAGGAUCGGCCCGCGUCUGAUUAGCUUGUUGGUGAGGUAACGGCUCACCAAGGCGACGAUCAGUAGCUGGUCUGAGAGGAUGAUCAGCCUCACUGGAACUGAGACACGGCCCAGACUCCUACGGGAGGCAGCAGUGGGGAAUAUUGGACAAUGGGCGCAAGCCUGAUCCAGCCAUGCCGCGUGGGUGAUGAAGGCCCUAGGGUUGUAAAGCCCUUUCGGCGGGGAAGAUAAUGACGGUACCCGCAGAAGAAGCCCCGGCUAACUUCGUGCCAGCAGCCGCGGUAAUACGAAGGGGGCUAGCGUUGCUCGGAAUCACUGGGCGUAAAGCGCACGUAGGCGGCUUUUUAAGUCAGGGGUGAAAUCCUGGAGCUCAACUCCAGAACUGCCCUUGAUACUGAGAAGCUUGAGUCCGGGAGAGGUGAGUGGAACUGCGAGUGUAAAGGUGAAAUUCGUAGAUAUUCGCAAGAACACCAGUGGCGAAGGCGGCUCACUGGCCCGGUACUGACGCUGAGUGCGAAAGCGUGGGAGCAAACAGGAUUACAUACCGUGUAAGUCCACGCCGUAAAACGA